rnacentral:rRNA from 1 species
CCAAUAGCGUAUAUUAAAGUUGUUGCAGUUAAAAAGCUCGUAGUUGAAUUUCGGGAUCAAUUUAUCGGUCGUGCCUACGGUAUGAACUGGUACAAUUGGUUUCUCCCUUCUGACGAAGCUCGAUGUCAUUAACUUGGUGUCGGGGGGAAUCAGGACUGUUACUUUGAAAAAAUUAGAGUGUUUAAAGCAGGUCUUGGAUUGAAUACAUUAGCAUGGAAUAAUGAACUAGGAAGUUUGAUCCUAUUUCGUUGGUUUCUAGGAUCGACGUAAUGAUUAAUAGGGAUAGUUGGGGGCAUUAGUAUUCAAUUGUCAGAGGUGAAAUUCUUGGAUUUAUUGAAGACUAACUACUGCGAAAGCAUUUGCCAAGGAUGUUUUCAUUAAUCAAGAACGAAAGUUAGGGGAUCGAAGACGAUCAGAUACCGUCGUAGUCUUAACCAUAAACUAUGCCGACUAGGGAUCGGAUGAUGUUAAUUUUUUAAUGACUCAUUCGGCGCCUUACG